GAUGCCUUGGAGGAAGACUUCGAUCCCACCAAAGGAGACAGCACCGGAGGCACACCUCUCGCCGUGGUGACCCCAGCAACCAGCGAGAGUGAUGUGACUGAUGAUGGUGCUGUCUGGUCAUGGCUUUUUCAGAGUGUUACAGAGGAGGAGGGCCUGCCUCUGGCCAAGGUGACCCCGGCAGGCAGCGAAUGCGGUACAUAUUCUGGAAUCAGCCUCCUCGUG